rnacentral:snRNA from 1 species
GGAUGUGAGGGUGAUCUGGCUGUGACAUCUGUCACCCCAUUGAUUGCCAGGGUUGAUUCAGCUGAUCUGGCUGGCUAGGCGGGUGUCCCCUUCCUCCCUCACCGCUCCAUUUGUGUCCCUCCCAAAGCUGCGCGCUUGGUCAAAGACAGCCUUCCCUGAAUAGAGACUGACUGGUCUUUGGGUACAGGAGUAGCUGUGCUCCCCUGCUAGAACCUCCAAACAAGCCCUCUUUACCUCUUACCCUCUAUCUGUAACAAGCACAGAUUGUCAAGAAGCCAAUACAGACUGAUGGACAAAUAUAAACUAAAAUGCAGGCAGAGUAAGUAAGGCUUGAUGAUGUUAAGU